rnacentral:tRNA from 1 species
GCGGAUAUGGCGGAAUUGGCAGACGCGCUAGAUUUAGGUUCUAGUGUCUUAGGACGUGCAGGUUCAACUCCUGUUAUCCGCA